rnacentral:rRNA from 1 species
UACGUAGGGAGCAAGCGUUGUCCGGAAUUACUGGGCGUAAAGGGCGCGUAGGCGGGGACUCAAGUCAGAUGUGAAAACUCCGGGCUCAACUUGGAGACUGCAUUUGAAACUGGGUUUCUUGAGGGCAGGAGAGGAAAGUGGAAUUCCUAGUGUAGCGGUGAAAUGCGUAGAUAUUAGGAGGAACACCAGUGGCGAAGGCGACUUUCUGGACUGUACCUGACGCUGAGGCGCGAAAGCGUGGGGAGCAAAC